rnacentral:rRNA from 1 species
UGAGGAAUAUUGGUCAAUGGGCGGGAGCCUGAACCAGCCAAGCCGCGUGACGGAAGAAGGCGCUAAGCGUCGUAAACGUCUUUUGCCGGGGAACAAAGGCGCGGACGCGUCCGCGUGUGAGUGUACCCGGAGAAAAGCAUCGGCUAACUCCGUGCCAGCAGCCGCGGUAAUACGGAGGAUGCGAGCGUUAUCCGGAUUUAUUGGGUUUAAAGGGUGCGUAGGCGGCCCGUUAAGUCAGCGGUAAAAGCCCGGGGCUCAACCCUGGCGAGCCGUUGAAACUGGGGGGUCUAGAGACGGCGAGAAGUACGCGGAAUGCGCGGUGUAGCGGUGAAAUGCAUAGAUAUCGCGCAGAACUCCGAUUGCGAAGGCAGCGUACCGGCGCCGGACUGACGCUGAGGCACGAAAGCGUGGGUAUCGAACAGGAUUAGAUACC